rnacentral:rRNA from 1 species
AAGCAUAUCAAUAAGCGGAGGAAAAGAAACCAACAGGGAUUGCCCCAGUAACGGCGAGUGAAGCGGCAACAGCUCAAAUUUGAAAUCUGGCCCUCGGGUCCGAGUUGUAAUUUGGAGAGGAUGCUUUUGGCGCGGCGCCGUCCGAGUUCCUUGGAACAGGACGCCAUAGAGGGUGAGAGCCCCGUACGGGCGGCCGCCUAGCCUUUGUAAAGCUCCUUCGACGAGUCGAGUAGUUUGGGAAUGCUGCUCAAAAUGGGAGGUAAAUUUCUUCUAAAGCUAAAUACCGGCCAGAGACCGAUAGCGCACAAGUAGAGUGAUCGAAAGAUGAAAAGCACUUUGAAAAGAGGGUUAAAAAGUACGUGAAAUUGUUGAAAGGGAAGCGCCUGUGACCAGACUUGCGGCCCGUGGAUCAUCCGGUGUUCUUCACCGGUGCACUCCGCGGGCUGCAGGCCAGCAUCGGUUUUCCUAGGGGGAUAAAGGUCGCGGGAACGUAGCUCCCUCGGGAGUGUUAUAGCCCGUGGCGUCAUGCCUCUGGGGGGACCGAGGACCGCGCUUCGGCAAGGAUGCUGGCGUAAUGGUCACCGGCGACCCGUCUUGAAACACGGACCAAGGAGUCAAGCAUUGGGGCGAGUGUCUGGGUGCCAAACCCGCACGCGAAAUGAAAGUAAACGCAGGUGAGAGCUUCGGCGCAUCACCGACCGAUCCUGAUGUUCUCGGAUGGAUUUGAGUAAGAGCCUUACCGCUUGGACCCGAAAGAUGGUGAACUAUGCCUGUAUAGGGUGAAGCCAGAGGAAACUCUGGUGGAGGCUCGCAGCGGUUCUGACGUGCAAAUCGAUCGUCAAAUAUGGGCAUGGGGGCGAAAGACUAAUCGAACCAUCUAGUAGCUGGUUA